rnacentral:rRNA from 1 species
AUUUGACCUCGGAUCAGGUAGGAGCCGAUCGUUUUUAAC